CAGUUAGGGGUGAAAUCCCGGAGCUCAACUCCGGAACUGCCUUUAAUACUGCCAGUCUAUAGUCCGGAAGAGGUGAGUGGAACUCCUAGUGUAGAGGUGGAAUUCGUAGAUAUUAGGAAGAACACCAGUGGCGAAGGCGGCUCACUGGUCCGGUACUGACGCUGAGGUGCGAAAGCGUGGGGAGCAAACAG
rnacentral:rRNA from 1 species